rnacentral:rRNA from 1 species
AGAGUUUGAUCCUGGCUCAGGACGAACGCUGGCGGCGUGCCUAACACAUGCAAGUCGAACGAGGUCCAUUCAGUAGCAAUACUGAGGAAGACCUAGUGGCGAACGGGUGAGUAACACGUGAGGAACCUGCCCCGAAGACUGGGAUAACGCUCCGAAAGGAACGCUAAUACCGGAUACCUUCACUGGAUCGCAUGACCCGGUGAAGAAAUGGAUUCCGCUUCGGGAGGGCCUCGCGGCCUAUCAGCUUGUUGGUGGGGUAAUGGCCCACCAAGGCUUCGACGGGUAGCUGGUCUGAGAGGACGAUCAGCCACACUGGGACUGAGACACGGCCCAGACUCCUACGGGAGGCAGCAGUGGGGAAUCUUGCGCAAUGGGCGAAAGCCUGACGCAGCAACGCCGCGUGGGGGAUGAAGGCUCUCGGGUCGUAAACCCCUUUCAGCAGGGACGAAACUGACGGUACCUGCAGAAGAAGCCCCGGCCAACUACGUGCCAGCAGCCGCGGUAACACGUAGGGGGCAAGCGUUGUCCGGAUUUAUUGGGCGUAAAGAGCUCGUAGGUGGUUCGGUAAGUCAGGUGUGAAACCUCCAGGCUCAACCUGGAGACGCCACUUGAUACUGCUGUGACUGGAGUCCGGUAGGGGAGCGUGGAAUUCCUGGUGUAGCGGUGAAAUGCGCAGAUAUCAGGAGGAACACCAGCGGCGAAGGCGGCGCUCUGGGCCGGUACUGACACUGAGGAGCGAAAGCGUGGGUAGCAAACAGGAUUAGAUACCCUAGUAGUCC